ensembl:snRNA U6 U6 spliceosomal RNA
GUGCUCAUUUCAGCAGCACAGGUACUAAAAUUGGAACAAUACAGAGAAGGUUAGAAUGGCCCCUGUGCAAGGAUGACACAAAAUUUCAUCAGUUCUAUUAAAAAAAG